AUUGAACGCUGGCGGCAGGCCUAACACAUGCAAGUCGAACGAGUGGCGGACGGGUGAGUAAUGUCUGGGAAACUGCCUGAUAGAGGGGGAUAACUACUGGAAACGGUGGCUAAUACCGCAUACCAUCAGCAGUACCCAGAGGGGAUUAGCUUGUUGGUGGGUUAACGGCUCACCUAGGCGACGAUCCCUAGCUGGUCUGAGAGGAUGAACAGCCACACUGGAACGGAGAAACGGUCCAGAUUCCUACGGGAGGCAGCAGUGGGGAAUAUUGCACAAUGGGCGCAAGCCUGAUGCAGCCAUGCCGCGUGUAUGAAGAAGGCCUUCGGGUUGUAAAGUACUUUCAGCGGGGAGGCGUUACCCGCAGAAGAAGCACCGGCUAACUCCGUGCCAGCAGCCGCGGUAAUAC
rnacentral:rRNA from 1 species